rnacentral:rRNA from 1 species
CGUUGAGCUAACCAGUACUAAUGAACCGUGAGGCUUAACCUGACAACACCGAAAGUGUUUUG